GAUGAACGCUGGCGGCGUGCCUAAUUCAUGCAAGUCGAGCGAACAGAUGAGGAGCUUGCUCCUCUGGCGUUAGCGGCGGACGGGUGAGUAACACGUGGAUAACCUACCUAUAAGACUGGGAUAACUUCGGGAAACCGGAGCUAAUACCGGAUAAUAUAUUGAACCGCAUGGUUCAAUAGUGAAAGACGGUUUUGCUGUCACUUAUAGAUGGAUCCGCGCCGCAUUAGCUAGUUGGUAAGGUAACGGCUUACCAAGGCAACGAUGCGUAGCCGACCUGAGAGGGUGAUCGGCCACACUGGAACUGAGACACGGUCCAGACUCCUACGGGAGGCAGCAGUAGGGAAUCUUCCGCAAUGGGCGAAAGCCUGACGGAGCAACGCCGCGUGAGUGAUGAAGGUCUUCGGAUCGUAAAACUCUGUUAUUAGGGAAGAACAAAUGUGUAAGUAACUAUGCACGUCUUGACGGUACCUAAUCAGAAAGCCACGGCUAACUACGUG
rnacentral:rRNA from 1 species